UGUUAGAGGAAUAUAGGAUGUAACAGAUGAGAUGAUAGAGGAAUAUUUAGACUUAGGAUAGAGGUAACAGGAGAUGUUAAAGGAAUAUAAGAUGUAACAGAUGAGAUGAUAGAGGAAUAUUUAGACUUAGGAUAGAGGUAACAGGAGAUGUUAAAGGAAUAUAAGAUGUAACAGAUGAGAUGAUAGAGGAAUAUUUAGACUUAGGAUAGAGGUAACAGGAGAUGUUAAAGGAAUAUAAGAUGUAACAGACGAGAUGAUAGAGGAAUAUUUAGACUUGGGGUAGAGGUAACAGAACAGAUGGGUGAGGAAUGUUUAGACUUGGGGCAGAGGUAACAGAGGAGAUGAUAGAGGAAUAUUUAGACUUGGGGCAGAGGUAACAGAAGAGAUGGUAGAGGAAUGUUUAGACUUGGGGUAGAGGUAACAGAGUAGAUGGUAGAGGAAUAUUUAGACUUGGGGCAGAGGUAACAGAGGAGAUGAUAGAGGAAUGUUUAGACUUGGGGUAGAGGUAACAGAGGAGAUGAUAGAGGAAUAUUUAGACUUGGGGUAGAGGUAACAGAGGAGAUGAUAGAGGAAUAUUUAGACUUGUGUUAGAGGUAGUAGAGGAUAUGAUAGAGGAAUAUUUAGACUUGGGAUAGAGGGGACAGAGGAGAUGGUAGAGGAAUAUAAGAUGUAACAGAUGAGAUGAUAGAGGAAUAUUUAGACUUGGGGUAGAGGUAACAGAAGAUGUUAGAGGAAUAUAAGAUGUAACAGAUGAGAUGGUAGAGGAAUAUUUAGACUUGGGGUAGAGGUAACAGAGGAGAUGGUAGAGGAAUAUUUAGACUUGGGGUAGAGGUAACAAGGUGUGUGGUAGAGGAACAUUUAGACUUGGGGUAGAGGUAACAGGAGAUGUUAGAGGAAUAUAAGAUGUAACAGAGGAGAUGGUAGAGGAAUAUUUAGACUUGGGGUAGAGGUAACAGGAGAUGGUAGAGGAAUGUUUAGACUUGGGGUAGAGGUCGGGAGAUGGUAGAGGAAUAUUUAGACUUGGGGUAGAGGUAACAGACGAGAUGGUAGAGGAAUAUUUAGACUUGGGGCAGAGGUAACAGAGGAGAUGAUAGAGGAAUAUUUAGACUUUGGGGAGAGGUAACAGAGGAGAAGGUAGAGG